rnacentral:ncRNA from 1 species
GAGUGGUUAGAAGGAGGGAAGGAUAGCACUCCCCUUGACAAGGGAUCCCACAAGACUUUGAUAAAACAUGUGCACGUAUACCUACAUUCGAAUCAAAGGUUUUGA